UAUAGUGAGUUCGGCUUACUUAAAACAUCAUUAAACCAUUACAUUUGAAAGAUCAUGUAAAUAAAGGGAUUAACAUACAAACUAGGGUCAAGCACAACUAUAAUCCUCAAUAACAUCAUUACAUUACAUAACUAAUUAAUACUAUUCAUUACAUUUCAAUAUUUAUCAUGUCCACCACUAGCUAUUACAUGACCAUGACUUUACUCUUCCUGAC
rnacentral:lncRNA from 1 species